UGGCCGGAUGGGACAGGAGGCA
rnacentral:miRNA from 5 species